UACGUAGGGUGCGAGCGUUUGUCCGGAAUUAUUGGGCGUAAAGGGCUCGUAGGCGGUUUGUCGCGUCGGGAGUGAAAACACUGGGCUUAACUCAGUGCUUGCUUUCGAUACGGGCAGACUAGAGGUAUGCAGGGGGAGAACGGAAUUCCUGGUGUAGCGGUGAAAUGCGCAGAUAUCAGGAGGAACACCGGUGGCGAAGGCGGUUCUCUGGGCAUUACCUGACGCUGAGGAGCGAAAAGUGUGGGGGAGCGAAACAGGAU
rnacentral:rRNA from 1 species